CCAGUGGUGGCGCCGGGCCGCCCCACCCAUCCCAGGUCCUUAUUUAAGGUCGGUCCCCUCCUGUCCCCGUUGCGUCCCCGAUGUCCCCGAUGUCCCCAGCCAUGGCUGCUCCUCGGCUGCCAUCGGCCCUGGGGGUCUCGUUGCUGCUGCUGUGUGGGCAGAUGGCAGGCGCUGCCUCCGACUGCGACUCGGGAUCCCAUCUGAGCCCGCUGAUGGCCGGGGUGGAUCCCUGCAAGGAACCCACUGGAUUCCUCAGCCCCCAAACUGGGGGGGACGCAGACAGGCUCCCCUCCACUUCUCCAGGCGCUGCUUCCGACUGCGACUCGGGAUCCCAUCUGAGCCCGCUGAUGGCCGGGGUGGAUCCCUGCAAGGAACCCACUGGAUUCCUCAGCCCCCAAACUGGGGGGGACGCAGCGGGGUCCUCCGGAGGGGGAGGGGGAUCCUAUAGUGGACCGGGAUCCUAUGGGAGCAGCUCGGGAUCCUACAGCGGACCGGGAUCCUAUGGCGGAUUGGGAUCCCAUGGCGGUGGAUCGGGAUCCUAUGGGAGCAGUUCGGGAUCCUAUGGGGGCAGACCCAUCCCAUGGCGGUGGAUCGGGAUCCUACGGGAGCAGCUCGGGAUCCUAUGGGGGCAGACCGGGAUCCCAAAGUGGAUCGGGAUCCCAUGGCGGUGGAUCGGGAUCCUACAGUGACUCCGGAUCCUAUGGGAGCAGCUCAGGAUCCUAUGGGGGCAGACCAGGAUCCCAGGGGGUAUCGGGAUCCUAUGGAGGCAGACCGGGAUCCCAAGGUGGAUCGGGAUCCCAUGGCGGUGGAUCGGGAUCCUACAGUGACUCCGGAUCCUAUGGGAGCAGCUCAGGAUCCUAUGGGGGCGGAUCAGGAUCCUAUGGGGGUGGAUCGGGGGCAUCGCCAGGACGAGGAAGUGGAUCUGGGUCCUAUGUGUCACCGGAAUCCAGUGGAGGUAAACCAGGAUCCUACGGAAGCCGACCGGGAUCCCAAGGGGACGGAUCAGGAUCUUUCGUCUCGCCGGAAUCUGGUGGGCCACCAGGAUCCUAUGGACUUCUGCCCUAUGGAUUGGGAAGACCUGGAUCCCAAGGAGGAUCGGGAUCGGGGAGACCUGGAUCCCAAGGGGGAUCGGGAUCGGGAUCGGGAUCAGGAUCAGGGAGACCUGGAUCCCAAGGGGGAAGUGGAUCAGGAAGACCUGGAUCCCAAGGAGGAUCGGGAUCAGGGAGACCUGGAUCCCAAGGAGGAUCGGGAUCAGGCAGACCUGGAUCCCAAGGGGGGAGUGGAUCCCAAGGAGGCAGCGGAUCGGGGUCCUAUG
rnacentral:lncRNA from 1 species